GAUGAAAACGCAGCGAAAUGCGAUAAGUAAUGUGAAUUGCAGAAUUCAGUGAAUCAUCGAAUCUUUGAACGCACCUUGCGCCCUUUGGCUAUUCCGAAGGGCAUGCCUGUUUGAGUAUCGUGAACACCUCAACUCUCAUGGUUUGCCAUGAUGAGCUUGGACUUUGGGGGUUUUGCUGGCCUUUGGUCGGCUCCUCUCAAACGGAUCAGCUUUCCAGUGUUUGGUGGCGUCACGGGUGUGAUAACUAUCUACGCCUGUGGUUUUCUGCCAGAUAACCUUCAGCGAUGGAGGUUCGCUGGGGCUCAUAAAUGUCUCUCUUCAGUGGAGACAGCUUUUUGGACGUUUGAUCUCAAAUCAGGUAGGACUACCCGCUGAACUUAAGCAUAUCAAUAAGCGGAGGA
rnacentral:misc_RNA from 1 species